UAUAUUAUAGUUUAAUUUAAAACAUUAAAUUGCAAAUUUAAAAUUAUUAGUUUAAAAAAUUAGUUAAUAUAU
rnacentral:tRNA from 1 species